rnacentral:tRNA from 1 species
UGGGAUGUGGCUCAGUGGUGGAGCGCUUGCUUAGCAUGCAUGAGGCACUGGGUUCGAUUCACAGCACCACAG